UAGAUUAUCCUUUUCAAAUAUAAAAGAAAAAGAAAAAACUAAUGAGACGUAUUCCAUUUUUUCUCUAACCUGGACGGAGCAUGAAGAAAAGAGGAAGAGAAAGUGAGAGAGAAUGAGGUCGUUGCUAGCGAUCGGAGGCAGAGAGAGGUUAGCACCAUUUGAAUCGAAGAUGGAGAGAAGCCACCUCAAGUAGCCAAUUGACGAUUCGAGAAGGUUCGCGCUUUUCGAUAAUCGGCAGUGGUUGUGUGGUGAAAACCUGAUGGAGAACACCGUUGUGCUUUCGCUUACGGACCAAAGUGAGGGCACGAUCGAAAUUCCAACACAAAAGAAGCAUUUUGGGGCAUGGAAAUAGGAGAAACUGUGAUUUGAAACUCAGUCCAAUGGGAUUCCUUAUAAAAGGAGGUUUGGUCAGUCAUCAUCCAAUGAUUGUUGCUUGCCACUGUGAGGGUAAAGGAUGGAAAUUUUGGGGUGAUAGCAAUUUGAAGAGUAAAUUUUAGGGUCACUCAAUUCAGCUUGAUCAUGUUGUUCUUUUAAUGGUGGAAUUUGAUGACAGAGAAAUUUUUCAAUGGAGUAAGGUUACAACAUCAAUUAACAACCUUAUAUUGGGAAAGCUCUAUUGUGACCACUGUGGUACAAUGCGUAUACAAGGGAAUCAUAACUAUUCUUGCAAGCUGAAAUUCAAGGAGCAAUCUAUCAUUGACCAAACUCCUCACUAGAUAUUCUUUCUUUAUCUUUUAAUUUUCAAAUGUUUACUUGCAUAUAGUUUUAUAUGGAUAUUUGGAGGUCUUCUUAGAUGACUGAAAAAAAGCAUGGCAAUUUUUUUCUCUAGGAACGUAAUGUGGCAUAACUUCUUCAAUUGUUUGGUUUGUUUCUUUGUGGAAUGAGAUAUAAUUAUGUUGUUUAAUAACUUUAAUUUAAUUUGAUGGAAAUUAUAUUAGGUGGAGGCUAUCAAAUUAUUGAAAUCUCUCUCCAUAUUUGUUGACAAAGGAUUUAUUUUAUUUUAUGUUAUUUUUUUGAAAGCCUAAUAUAUAAUAAAGUCUGGACAGCCUAUAAUCCCAUUAUAUUGGAAAUAUAAUUCCUUUAGUUUCUAAAUAUGAUGAUACCAACUUCGAAUCCUCCAAAGGGGUUGGAGUUGACAGCAACAGAAAUUUUUAUUAGUUAAUCCUUUAUGGGAGUUGAAGUUGUCUGCAAGAACAAUAUGUAUGGAUUAUGAGAGGUGGAGCAUCAAUCAUUUUCUUACCCCUUUGGUUUUAUUUUGCUUCUAGAAGAAAGCCAUUUUUUAUUUUUUUUAAAAUAAAUACAUCAAACCAAAGGAUUCUAUUUUUGGGUGAACAAAAUGGAUUGAGGGUAUAGAUUCUGUUAAUAAGUACUAUAAUAUUGUUAACAAGCUUAAGGAUUGUUCUUUUAAAAUUAUUGCUGUUUUCUUUUUCGGUCAGAUACAUGGUUUAGUUCAAGAUAGAAAUGGAAAAACAAUAGCAAUACUAUUUGGAAAAUGGGAUGAGAGCAUGCAUUAUGUGGAUGGAAAUUGUUCUGGGAAGGGAAAAGGAUUGGAGUCUUGACCUGAUGCCCAGUUGCUUUGGAAGAGGAGCAAGCCACCCCAGUUUCCUACAAGAUAUAACUUGCCACGCUUUGCCAUCACCAUGAAUGAACUCACCCAUGGAUUAAGGGAAAAGUUAUCCCCUAUAGAUUUAAGGCUCAGGCCCGAUCAAAGGUAUCUAGACAUUGAUUGCUACAACUUUUUAUCCCUCGCCACAGUCUUGAUGUUACAGAUAAUGAAAUUCAAACCAUGCCAUGGGCAGCGAUUCUUGAAAAGAAGGAAAACUACUUGAUUGGAAUGCUUAACAAGGGAGUACUUGCAUUUCCAAUCUCAAAAUGGGUCCCUGGUGUUGGUCCAACUGUCAAAUCUGGUUCAAAGGGAAAGCGUCAUUGUUUGAUACUGACUAAAACCCUUGAGUGGACCUUAAAUUGGUGCAUACUACAAAGCAUGUUUGAUAGGUAUGUUAAACUUGACCGUGCAUUUCUUGUCAUGGAUUUCUGUUCAUAUUUAAGAUACAUAUUUUGAUUGGUGCGUACAGUUGGACAUAUGUCAAGAUGUAAUAUGUAAAAUGUCCAUUUCAUAUUUCUUAGACAAUAUGUAGAAGACAAGAAGUUAUUUUUAAAUU